rnacentral:rRNA from 1 species
ACUCCUACGGGAGGCAGCAGUGGGGAAUAUUGCACAAUGGGCGCAAGCCUGAUGCAGCCAUGCCGCGUGUGUGAAGAAGGCCUUCGGGUUGUAAAGCACUUUCAGUCGUGAGGAAGGUAGUGUAGUUAAAUAGCUGAUUAUUUGACGUUAGCGACAGAAGAAGCACCGGCUAACUCCGUGCCAGCAGCCGCGGUAAUACGGAGGGUGCGAGCGUUAAUCGGAAUUACUGGGCGUAAAGCGCAUGCAGGUAGUUUGUUAAGUCAGAUGUGAAAGCCCGGGGCUCAACCUCGGAAUUGCAUUUGAAACUGGCAGACUAGAGUACUGUAGAGGGGGGUAGAAUUUCAGGUGUAGCGGUGAAAUGCGUAGAGAUCUGAAGGAAUACCGGUGGCGAAGGCGGCCCCCUGGACAGAUACUGACACUCAGAUGCGAAAGCGUGGGAGCAAACAGGAUUAGAUA